CGAUUGGGUUAGAUAGCGAAAUAGGAACCGAUUAUCGGGUAAGAUUUGGGGAUAUUUGAAGGAGAUGAAGCUGAUUUCUGGGAUUUCGACGUUCUUCUGAUGAUGGUUAAGAUUAAAAAUGGGAGAGCGAAAAGCAACAAGGAAGCAAACAGCUGAGUAAACAUCAUGAUGCUAAUGACUUUGAGGUUUCGAUUCAUCAUAGGUUCACCAAAUAUAUAGACCGAAAAACGUGUUGUACGGAUUAUCUGGAAUUCAAUUUUCUUAUUUUUUUGAAAAAGGGAUUUCGUCAGGGAUGAGGGAAGAUGAGUAAUAAAAAGAAAAAGACAAGGAACACAACAAAUUAGAUUUCAAAACAUG
rnacentral:lncRNA from 1 species